AAUUUGACAGCCAAUAAACAAACAGCACACAGCACAAAUAUAAUAAAAGAAAAAAAAACCUCAAAUAAAAAACAAAUAAACCGAGUAGCGGCGAGUUCCGCUCUCAUGACACGGCACUAAAUUAUUAUCGAAAAUAUCGUAUACGAGUAUACCCGUCCACUUGACGGGCUCACUUGUAAUCGAUUUGAUAUUUAGACCUCACCUACCUCACCUCCACUCAACUCAACUCGCCUUCUCAGCCACUCAACUCGAGCGUUUCGGCUCCUUUUUCACAGGUGAUUAGAUGUUUUGGCCACGUCUGCGGCGGCGGCUCAAAGUGCUUAAUUAGCCUACCGUUUCUGGCCACCUUUUUUGUUGUUACUCUGUUAUGCUUACCACUUUGUUGUGGCGACUUCAAGACAAUCCAAAAUUUGGACACUGAGGAAACGGACUUUAUGGUGUUAAAACGAAAUAUAAUUAUGGAGUAAUAACUUUAGAAACAUAGACAUUAGAUCAUUAAUUUAAUCAUUCUUUGAGUUAGAUGACCUAAUGGAUUUGUUUGAUUUUAAAUGUGUAUAGAGCCGAAUUAUAAACUGAAGUCGGCAUGCGGUAAUGAUAUGCCAAUCACAAAACCUAAGCAGCAUGUAGAGCUCAUUGGGUUCAUUUAAAGUACAAUUAGCUGCGAAUUUGGAAACCGAAACAUUUCGAAUAGUUGGCUAAUUACAGCCGAGGAAUUUGGCAUUUUCAUUAGCUCACCGAAGGAAAACCAUUGAAAAUUUCUACCAUGCGAAAAGAAAUAAGAAAUUACGAUCUCAUCAUUUCCUGAUUACGUGAAACUGUCGCAAUUCAGAGCAGAGCCCGUAAAUCUCCGAUGUAAAUUUGUUUACUUUGGCGCUGAUCCUGAUCCUUAGCCUGACUGACACGACAACGGGCCAAUUAACUGCUGCCAAGAAAUGCUGGGAAUCAAAAAGUAAAUAAAUCAACAAGAAUGGACCCCCUUAAUAUUUCCUGGGCCUGUGCAACAUUUUGCAACAAUAUUUUCAGCUACCCACACGAGUUUUGACAGCCAUCGACAGUUGGCAAGAGAAUAAAAAAGUGAAGAGAAUACGUGAA